UACGUAGGGACCAAGCGUUGUUCGGAUUUACUGGGCGUAAAGGGCGCGUAGGCGGCAAUUCAAGUCAGCUGUGAAAUCUCCGGGCUUAACUCGGAACGGUCAGCUGAUACUGCUUUGCUAGAGUGCAGAAGGGGCAAUCGGAAUUCUUGGUGUAGCGGUGAAAUGCGUAGAUAUCAAGAGGAACACCUGAGGUGAAGACGGGUUGCUGGGCUGACACUGACGCUGAGGCGCGAAGGCCAGGGGAGCAAACGGG
rnacentral:rRNA from 1 species